rnacentral:rRNA from 1 species
AACGAACGCUGGCGGCAUGCCUAACACAUGCAAGUCGAACGAGACCUUCGGGUCUAUUGGCGCACGGGUGCGUACGGCGUGGGAACCUGCCCGUAGGUUCGGAAUACCUCCCCGUGAGGGAUCCUAAUACCGGUGAAUCUCUUCCGACCAAAGAGUUAUCGCCUUUGGAUGGGCCCGCGUUGGAUUCGCUGGUUGGUAGGGUAAAAGCCUACCAAGGCGAGGAUCCAUAGCUGGUCUGAGAGGAUGAUCAGCCACACUGGGACUGAGACACGGACCAGACUCCUACGGGAGGGAGCAGAGGGGAAUAUUAUGCGCUGGGCGAAAGUCUGACAAAGCAAUGCCGGGUGAGUGAGGAAGGGGUUAGGGUUGUAAAGCCCUUUUAGACGGGGUGAUAAUGACGGUACCGGGAAAAUAAGCACCGGCUAACUACGUG